UUGUACACACCGCCCGUCGCUACUACCGAUUGAAUGGUUCAGUGAGGCUUUCGGACUGGCCCAGGGAGGUCGGCAACGACCACCCAGGGCCGGAAAGUUAUCCAAACUCGAUCAUUUAGAGGAAGUAAAAGUCGUAACAAGGUCUCCGUUGGUGAACCAGCGGAGGGAUCAUUGCUGGAACGCGCUUCGGCGCACCCAGAAACCCUUUGUGAACUUAUACCUAUUUGUUGCCUCGGCGUAGGCCGGCCUCUUCACUGAGGCCCCCUGGAGACAGGGAGCAGCCCGCCGGCGGCCAACUAAACUCUUGUUUCUAUAGUGAAUCUCUGAGUAAAAAACAUAAAUGAAUCAAAACUUUCAACAACGGAUCUCUUGGUUCUGGCAUCGAUGAAGAACGCAGCGAAAUGCGAUAAGUAAUGUGAAUUGCAGAAUUCAGUGAAUCAUCGAAUCUUUGAACGCACAUUGCGCCCUCUGGUAUUCCGGAGGGCAUGCCUGUUCGAGCGUCAUUUCAACCCUCAAGCCUGGCUUGGUGAUGGGGCACUGCCUUCUAGCGAGGGCAGGCCCUGAAAUCUAGUGGCGAGCUCGCUAGGACCCCGAGCGUAGUAGUUAUAUCUCGUUCUGGAAGGCCCUGGCGGUGCACUGCCGUUAAACCCCCAACUUCUGAAAAUUUGACCUCGGAUCAGGUAGGAAUACCCGCUGAACUUAAGCAUAU
rnacentral:rRNA from 1 species